rnacentral:tRNA from 1 species
AAAUAAGUAAGCUAAAUUCCCUAAGCUUUUAGGUUCAUACCCUAAAUAUAGAAAUUCUAUCUUUCUCUUAUUUA